rnacentral:lncRNA from 1 species
CUCAUAAGUUGCAGGGAAAUCUCAAUAGUUUGUGCAUGAAAAGCUGCUUGGCCAACAGAUUAUUUCUCAACUCAAAGUGUAACAUGUCAUGGAUGACAACAGAAACAAGUCUUCCUAAAACUUAAUUCAUGUGACAUAAGAUGUCACCUAUGGUUUCAUGUUACAUGAAAUGACACUGCAUUCAUGCAGUUGAGUUCUGCUAUUGCUAUUCAUAAUCCUACCAUUUGGACAACUGAUUGGUUGGUAAAAACAAAGUACUUAGUUUUUGUGUAGUGAACUCCAAAACUAUUCAGAACACUUUAACUAUGUUGUGGCAUCCAAAAGUUAAAUAACCAAAAUACAAUAGCCAAACCAUUUGGUUAAUUUUAAAUA